UAGUGAUAUGCUUGUCUCAAAGAUUAAGCCAUGCAUGUCUAAGUAUAAGUAUUGUACAGCGAAACUGCGAAUGGCUCAUUAAAACAGUUAUAGUUUAUUUGAUGGUCACUUACUACGUGGAUAACCGUGGUAAUUCUAGAGCUAAUACGUGCGUAAAGACCCGACUUUUUGGAAGGGGUGUAUUUAUUAUAUAAAGAACCAGGGUCUUCGGACCAGUGGUGAAUCAUAAUAACUGAUCGGAGCUUACCUUGCUGAGCUAAAUCAUUCAAGUUUCUGACCUAUCAGGUUUCAACGGUAGGGAAUUGGCCUACCGGGCCUAUGACGGGUAACGGGGAAUUAGGGUUCAAUUCCGGAAAGGGAGCCUGAGAGACGGCUACCACAUCUAAGGAAGGCAGCAGGCGCGCAAAUUACCCAAUCCUGACACAGGGAGGUAGGGACAAGAAAUAACAAUACAGGGCAUCCAUGUCUUGUAAUUGGAAUGAGUAGAAUCUAAAUCCCUCUACAAGUAUCAAUUGAAGGGCAAGUCUGGGGCCAGCAGCCGCGGUAAUUCCAGCUCCAAUAGCGAAUAUUUAAGUUGUUGCAGUUAAAAAGCUCGUAGUCGAAUUUCUGCCAGGCCUCGUAGGUCUGCCUUUUGGUAAGCACUUGCGAGGUCUGGCAUCUAU
rnacentral:rRNA from 1 species